AACGAACGCUGGCGGCAUGCCUAACACAUGCAAGUCGGACGAGACCUUCGGGUCUAGUGGCGCACGGGUGCGUAACGCGUGGGAACCUGCCCUUAGGUUCGGAAUAACUCCCCGAAAGGGGUGCUAAUACCGGAUAAUGUCUUCGGACCAAAGAUUUAUCGCCUUUGGAUGGGCCCGCGUUGGAUUAGCUAGUUGGUAGGGUAAAAGCCUACCAAGGCGACGAUCCAUAGCUGGUCUGAGAGGAUGAUCAGCCACACUGGGACUGAGACACGGCCCAGACUCAUACGGGAGGCAGCAGUGGGGAAUAUUGGAAAAGGGGAGAAAGCCUGAUCCAGCAAUGCCGCGGGAGUGAUGAAGGCCUUAGGGUUGUAAAGCUCUUUUACCCGGGAUGAUAAUGACAGUACCGGGAGAAUAAGCUCGGGCUAACUCCGUG
rnacentral:rRNA from 1 species